GAACUCAGGAUGUCCCAAAGGUCCUCAAGACGUCCCCAUCGAACUCAGGAUGUCCCCUGUGCUCCUCAAGAUGUCCUCGUGGUCCCCAAGAUGUCCCCAAGGUCAUCAGGACGUCCUCAUGGUCCUCAGGAUGUCAUCAUGGUCCUCAAGAUGUCCCCAUGGAAAUCAGGACAUCCCCUGUGCUCCUCAAGAUGUCAUCAUGGUCCUCAAGAUGUCCCCAAGGUCAUCAGGACGUCCCUGUGCUCCUCAAGAUGUCCCCAAGGUCAUCAGGAUGUCCUCGUGCUCCUCAAGAUGUCCCCAUGGAACUCAGGAUGUCCCCUGUGGUCCUCAGGAUGUCCCCAAGUUCAUCGGGACGUCCCUGUGCUCCUCAAGAUGUCCUCGUGCUCCUCAAGAUGUCCUCAUUGUCCCCAUGGAUGUCCCCAUGGUCUUCAGGAUGUUCCCGUGGUCCCCAAGAUGUCCCCAAGGCCACCAGGACGUCUCCAUGGUCUCCAAGAUGUCCCCAAGUUCUUCAGAAUGUACCCAAGGCCACCAGGAUGUCCUCAGAUGUCACCAAGUUCUCCAGGACGUCCCCAAGAUGUCCCCAAGGCCACCAGGACGUCCCCAUGGUCCCCAAGAUGUCCCCAAGUUCUCCAGGACAUCCCCAAGAUGUCCCCAAGCUCUCGGGGACACCCCCCGAGGUUUUUAAUUGUUUAAUUGCGUUUUUCUGAACGGUGCAAUUAAUAAAUGGCAACGAUUUAUCGAUAUUUUUCUUAAU
rnacentral:lncRNA from 1 species